rnacentral:lncRNA from 1 species
CUUCUUGGUAACAUAAGUUUGCCUUCCAGUAGCUCUUUGCACCUGCAGUUUUAUUAAAAUGGUACCGGUGUUCACCUCAACACCUCGGCUGGGAAAUCUACAGUAGAGUCACCAUCUCUGUGAGCAGUGAGAUGUGCAGAGCUGGAAAGUCAGCAGAGGAAGAGAGCUGCUUUUGCCUGGCAUCUCCAGUCCUCCUCCCUCCUUCACCUGGAAGCUGGGAGUGCCAAUGUCGCUCUUGCACCCGCCCUACCUAAUGACAGACUCAGUGCUGCAUGAAUCUCCUCCACCUGUCCAAAGGAACACUGUUCAGUAUUCAGUGCAUGCCCUGAUCGGCCUCACAGACUUUCUGGCAAGCUUUGUGCUUCCAUUGGGCUUGCCUGCAGAAGCAUCACCAGGCCCUCAGCACUGCAGAAGACACGAAUGGAGUCUGUACUCUUCUCACUGCCAGCUUGUGUGGAACAGCUUUGCUUCAUCAAGAUGGCUUUAGGAGCAACCCCAGCACAGUGCCUUUACAAAGAUGAGGUUUGCUGUGGUGUAGUAUAGAACACAGACCCAAACUGGACUGAGCCUGCAAGGAAGCUGCAGCAGAUGAACUGCUCUCUUCAAGGUCCAAAGCACGAAGCAGCAGAGCUCACAGAUGACACUGCGGACACACUGCAGCAAGUAUUGAAUAGAGGCUUUAAUGAAAGCCAUGACUCCAGACUGACUGAUGACAAGAUAAUCAUUGCCAUGGUAUCUGGGCAAGUGUUUCUGGAAAACCAUUGACUGAGAAACAUGCUGAACACCCUUGAAAUGGCUGAGGUCAAACUCUACGUGCCUGGGGCAGGGGAGCGGGAUUAAAGCGUGAAAGCCCAUGACAUUUCAUCAGGACUCCAAUGCUUUGAACAGUCCACUGAUAAUGGCUUUGAUUGCACUAAUGAUGGUCUCCAAGAUAGCACAGUGAGAUCAUUGGAGG